ACCGCGGCUGAGAAGCCGCGCUGAAUCCGCAGGAGUCAGCAGAAGCCAUAGUACGCAGGCUGUUGCAACAGCGUGCGGAAGGGC
rnacentral:ncRNA from 1 species